AGCUCUGCUGCUCUCGAUGCCUGAGGGCAUAUAGCUGACUCCACAGUGGCCCCAAAGGCACAUGGAACUGUCAGAUUGUUCCUAAGGCUGAGAAGAAGGAAGCCGUGUCCACAGCUGCACACAGUGGCGCAUGGCUACACACGGCUGCAUGUGGCAUUGCCCAUGGCUGUCACAGUGGCUCACACUGCACAAGCCAGAAGGAGCAGAUGAUUCCUCCUGAGAGAGGUGCUGAAGUUUGCAAAAGUGUGGAGGGAUAUGUUCUAGAGUGCCCAAGGUCUGCAGGUGGAACUGAAGGACUCACCACAGACCCCAGCUGGAGGGGCCAGCUUCCACAGACCUUCGGCCCUCCCACAGCCCCCACCUGCCUCAGGCCUG
ensembl:lncRNA